rnacentral:rRNA from 1 species
UAAGACGUAGGGCGCAAGCGUUGUCCGGAUUUAUUGGGCGUAAAGAGCUCGUAGGCGGCUUGUUGCGUCGACCGUGAAAACCCACAGCUCAACUGUGGGCUUGCGGUUGAUACGGGCGGGCUGGAGUUCGGUAGGGGAGACUGGAAUUCCUGGUGUAGCGGUGAAAUGCGCAGAUAUCAGGAGGAACACCGGUGGCGAAGGCGGGUCUCUGGGCCGAUACUGACGCUGAGGAGCGAAAGCGUGGGGAGCGAACAGGAUUAGAUACCCUGGUAGUCCACGCUGUAAACGUUGGGCGCUAGGUGUGGGGGUCCUCUCCGGGUCUCUGUGCCGCAGCUAACGCAUUAAGCGCCCCGCCUGGGGAGUACGGCCGCAAGGCUA